ACGAAGGGUGCAAGCGUUACUCGGAAUUACUGGGCGUAAAGCGUGCGUAGGUGGUUCGUUAAGUCCGAUGUGAAAGCCCUGGGCUCAACCUGGGAAUGGCAUUGGAUACUGGCGGGCUAGUGUGCGGUAGAGGGCAGUGGAAUUCCCGGUGUAGCAGUGAAAUGCGUAGAGAUCGGGAGGAACAUCAGUGGCGAAGGCGGCCAUCUGGGACAACACUGACGUUGAGGCACGAAAGCGUGGGGAGCAAACAGGA
rnacentral:rRNA from 1 species